UUGGAGGGAGAGAAGUGGCGCAAGUUAUAUUGAAACUCUCUCUGACUGCGAGCUGAUCCCAAAUCAGACGUACAAACUGUCUGGACAUCCUGCCAACCAUGUCCAGCCUAAGAAUGCAAAAUUCGUGAACUUUAAAGAAUACCAUAACUACACUGCUUCGUUUGAAGUCCAGCUCGCUAUCGAUGUGAAAAUCGUGGAGCUGGAGCUGAAACUUUUGAGGCCUGGGUGGCUGCCAGACUGGCUGUUUGGAUCACAUGAGCCUGUGGUGUGGAGCAGCGUCGUCCAGCUUACAGCCACUCCAGCAUCACACACGGCAGCCG